CAGCAGCCGCGGUAAUACGUAGGGUGCGAGCGUUAAUCGGAAUUACUGGGCGUAAAGCGUGCGCAGGCGGUUGUGUAAGACAGGUGUGAAAUCCCCGGGCUUAACCUGGGAACUGCGCUUGUGACUGCACAGCUAGAGUAUGGCAGAGGGGGGUGGAAUUCCACGUGUAGCAGUGAAUGCGUAGAGAUGUGGAGGAACACCGAUGGCGAAGGCAGCCCCCUGGGCCAAUACUGACGCUCAUGCACGAAAGCGUGGGGAGCAAACAGGAUUAGAUACCCCAGUAGUCCCUGUCUCUUAUACA
rnacentral:rRNA from 1 species